CUUUUUUCUCAUGGAAUUUGCUUCACUUCAUAAAUUGCCCAGGAUUUUUUUAAACUCCCUUCGGCCGCCGACACCAGAUACUCACUCUUUCACUUAACAUUGCGCGACAUCACCCAAGUUCCAACUCCAAAUCCUGUGCAGCGAGAAAGGAGGGAAGGGUUGCAGGGCCGCAACACCCUGAUUGGCCCUCGCACUGCUAUUGCUGCAAGUCGGCGGGGGUGCGGUUCUAGACACCACAAAGGCAUCACGGGCAAGACAGGAAGGUCGAAGCAGAAUACCUAGGUAUCACCCUUGUCGAGUGGCCCUAUCAAGCGGCUUGGGCUGGGGGGAGGGGGGAAUGCGGGGCGUAGACUGCAUCAUCACCAUCACCACCACCACUACCACCACCAGAUGUCGACGGUCUAUGGGAUAGUAGGCAGUGAAAGGUUCUAUAUUGGUGUCUUCCAAGGGCAGUGUUAUGUAUGUGGAUGGUAUGUAGACAGUCUCGCUCGAGAUUCUCGUGAAGCAGAUCGACGACCCAUC